rnacentral:tRNA from 1 species
GAGGGGAUAGCUCAAGUGGUAGAGCUGCAUACAUAGCAUGCAUGAGGUCCUGGGUUCAAUCCCCAGUGCCUCCU